CAACUUUCAACAACGGAUCUCUUGGCUCUCGCAUCGAUGAAGGAACCGAGCGAAAUGCGAUAAGUAAUGUGAAUUGCAAGAAUUCAGUG
rnacentral:rRNA from 1 species